UGUCUAAUUAAAACAAAGCAUUGCGAGGGCCCUAGCGGGUGCUGACGCAAUGUGAUUUCCGCCGUGCUCUGAAUGUCAAAAUGAAGAAAUUCAAGCAAGCGCGGGUAAACGGCGGGAGUAACUAUGAAUCUCUCUAUUGUGCGUUUCCAGGAAA
rnacentral:ncRNA from 1 species